ACUCAAAGGAAUUGACGGGGGCCCGCACAAGCGGUGGAGUAUGUGGUUUAAUUCGACGCAACGCGAAGAACCUUACCAGUCCUUGACAUGUCUAGUAUGGGUUAUGGAGACAUAACCCUUCGGUUCGGCCGGCUAGAACACAGGUGCUGCAUGGCUGUCGUCAGCUCGUGUCGUGAGAUGUUGGGUUAAGUCCCGCAACGAGCGCAACCCUCAUCUUUAGUUGCCCACGGGUCAGGCCGGGCACUCUAAAGAAACCGCCGGUGACAAGCCGGAGGAAGGCGGGGAUGACGUCAAGUCCUCAUGGCCCUUACGGACUGGGCUACACACGUACUACAAUGGUGGUGACAGUGGGCUGCGAAGGAGCAAUCCGGAGCCAAUCCCCAAAAACCAUCUCAGUUCAGAUUGCACUCUGCAACUCGAGUGCAUGAAGUUGGAAUCGCUAGUAAUCGCAGAUCAGCACGCUGCGGUGAAUACGUUCCCGGGCCUUGCACACACCGCCCGU
rnacentral:rRNA from 1 species